rnacentral:rRNA from 1 species
AACGAACGCUGGCGGCAGGCCUAACACAUGCAAGUCGAACGCUCCAGCAAUGGAGAGUGGCAGACGGGUGAGUAACGCGUGGGAACCUUCCCUAUGGUUCGGAAUAGCUCAGGGAAACUUGAGGUAAUACCGGAUAAGCCCUUCGGGGAAGGAUUUAUCGCCAUUGGAUGGGCCCGCGUAGGAUUAGCUAGUUGGUGAGGUAACGGCUCACCAAGGCGACGAUCCUUAGCUGGCUGAGAGGAUGAUCAGCCACACUGGGACUGAGACACGGCCCAGACUCCUACGGGAGGCAGCAGUGGGGAAUCUUGCGCAAUGGGCGAAAGCCUGACGCAGCGACGCCGCGUGAGGGAUGACGGCCU